rnacentral:rRNA from 1 species
GACGAACGCUGGCGGCGUGCUUAACACAUGCAAGUCGAACGGAAAGGCCCUGCUUUUGUGGGGUGCUCGAGUGGCGAACGGGUGAGUAACACGUGAGUAACCUGCCCUUGACUUUGGGAUAACUUCAGGACACUGGGGCUAAUACCGGAUAGGAGCUCCUGCUGCAUGGUGGGGGUUGGAAAGUUUCGGCGGUUGGGGAUGGACUCGCGGCUUAUCAGCUUGUUGGUGGGGUAGUGGCUUACCAAGGCUUUGACGGGUAGCCGGCCUGAGAGGGUGACCGGCCACAUUGGGACUGAGAUACGGCCCAGACUCCUACGGGAGGCAGCAGGGGGGAAUAUUGCACAAUGGGCGGAAGCCUGAUGCAGCAACGCCGCGGGCGGGAUGACGGCCUUCGGGUUGUAAACCGCUUUCGCCGGUGACGAAGCGUGAGUGACGGUAAUGGGUAAAGAAGCACCGGCUAACUACGUG